GGGAAACUGCCCGAUGGAGGGGGAUAACUACUGGAAACGGUAGCUAAUACCGCAUAACGUCGCAAGACCAAAGUGGGGGACCUUCGGGCCUCACACCAUCGGAUGUGCCCAGAUGGGAUUAGCUAGUAGGUGGGGUAAUGGCUCACCUAGGCGACGAUCCCUAGCUGGUCUGAGAGGAUGACCAGCCACACUGGAACUGAGACACGGUCCAGACUCCUACGGGAGGCAGCAGUGGGGAAUAUUGCACAAUGGGCGCAAGCCUGAUGCAGCCACGCCGCGUGUAUGAAGAAGGCCUUCGGGUUGUAAAGUACUUUCAGCGGGGAGGAAGGCGGUGAAGUUAAUAGCUUCACCGAUUGACGUUACCCGCAGAAGAAGCACCGGCUAACUCCGUGCCAGCAGCCGCGGUAAUACGGAGGGUGCAAGCGUUAAUCGGAAUUACUGGGCGUAAAGCGCACGCAGGCGGUCUGUCAAGUCGGAUGUGAAAUCCCCGGGCUUAACCUGGGAACUGCAUUCGAAACUGGCAGGCUGGAGUCUUGUAGAGGGGGGUAGAAUUCCAGGU
rnacentral:rRNA from 1 species